rnacentral:rRNA from 1 species
CCUACGGGAGGCUGCAGUAGGGAAUCUUCCACAAUGGGCGAAAGCCUGAUGGAGCAACGCCGCGUGGGUGAAGAAGGUCUUCGGAUCGUAAAACCCUGUUGUUAGAGAAGAAAGUGCGUGAGAGUAACUGUUCACGUUUCGACGGUAUCUAACCAGACAGCCACGGCUAACUACGUGCCAGCAGCCGCGGUAAUACGUAGGUGGCAAGCGUUAUCCGGAUUUAUUGGGCGUAAAGGGAACGCAGGCGGUCUUUUAAGUCUGAUGUGAAAGCCUUCGGCUUAACCGGAGUAGUGCAUUGGAAACUGGGAGACUGGAGUGCAGAAGAGGAGAGUGGAACUCCAUGUGUAGCGGUGAAAUGCGUAGAUAUAUGGAAGAACACCAGUGGCGAAAGCGGCUCUCUGGUCUGUAACUGACGCUGAGGUUCGAAAGCGUGGGUAGCAAACAGGAUUAGAUACCCGGGUAGUC